rnacentral:rRNA from 1 species
CCUACGGGUGGCAGCAGUGGGGGAUAUUGCACAAUGGGGGAAACCCUGAUGCAGCGACGCCGCGUGUGGGAAGACGGUCCUCUGGAUUGUAAACCACUGUCCCCAGGGACGAAGAUGACGGUACCUGGGGAGGAAGCUCCGGCUAACUACGUGCCAGCAGCCGCGGUAAUACGUAGGGAGCGAGCGUUGUCCGGAAUUACUGGGGGAAAAGGGAGCGUGGGCGGGACUGCAAGUUGGGUGUCAAAUCUACCGGCUAAACCGGUGGCCGAACUCAAAACUGCAGUUCUUGAGUGAAGUAGAGGCAGGCGGAAUUCCUAGUGUAGCGGUGAAAUGCGUAGAUAUUAGGAGGAACACCAGUGGCGAAGGCGGCCUGCUGGGCUUUUACUGACGCUGAGGCUCGAAAGUGUGGGGAGCAAACAGGAUUAGAUACCCGAGUAGUC